CCUACGGGGGGCUGCAGUGGGGAAUAUUGGACAAUGGGCGAAAGCCUGAUCCAGCCAUGCCGCGUGUGUGAAGAAGGCCUUCGGGUUGUAAAGCACUUUCAGUGGGGAAGAAAGCCUUGGGGCUAAUACCCUCGAGGAAGGACAUCACCCACAGAAGAAGCACCGGCUAACUCCGUGCCAGCAGCCGCGGUAAUACGGAGGGUGCGAGCGUUAAUCGGAAUUACUGGGCGUAAAGCGCGCGUAGGCGGUCUGAUAAGCCGGUUGUGAAAGCCCCGGGCUCAACCUGGGAACGGCAUCCGGAACUGUCAGGCUAGAGUGUAGGAGAGGAAGGUAGAAUUCCCGGUGUAGCGGUGAAAUGCGUAGAGAUCGGGAGGAAUACCAGUGGCGAAGGCGGCCUUCUGGACUGACACUGACGCUGAGGUGCGAAAGCGUGGGUAGCAAACAGGAUUAGAUACCCUAGUAGUC
rnacentral:rRNA from 1 species